rnacentral:siRNA from 1 species
ACGUUGUCUCUGACGCGUGAGAGA